UACGGAGGGUGCAAGCGUUAUCCGGAUUCACUGGGGUUAAAGGGUGCGUAGGUGGCUUUGUAAGUCAGUGGUGAAAUCUUAGAGCUUAACUCUAAAACUGCCAUUGAUACUGCUCAGCUUGAAUCAAGUAGAGGUGGAUGGAAUAUUACAUGUAGCGGUGAAAUGCUUAGAUAUGUAAUAGAACACCGAUUGCGAAGGCAGUUCACUAUGCUUGUAUUGACACUGAGGCACGAAAGCGUGGGGAUCAAACAGG
rnacentral:rRNA from 1 species